GGACUACCAGGGUUUCUAAUCCUGUUUGCUCCCCACGCUUUCGCGCCUCAGUGUCAGGAAUCAGCCAGAAUGGCGCCUUCGCCGCCGGCCUUCCCCCAGAUAUCUGCGCAUUUCACCGCUACACCUGGAGUUCCCCAUUCCCCUCUGAUCCUCAAGCCACGCAGUAUAACAUGCAAUUCCCCGGGUAAGCCGAGGGAUUUCACACGUUACUUACGCAACCACCUACGCGCCCUUUAAGCCCAGUGACACCGAACAACGUUCGCCCCUCACGUAUUACCGCGGCUGCUGGCAC
rnacentral:rRNA from 2 species